AGUGUCUGGAAACGGACAGUAAUACCGCAUAAUGUACAUUGAUGGCAUCUUCGAUGUACCAAAGCUUUUGCGCUGAAGGAUGGGCUCGCGUCUGAUUAGAUAGUUGGUGGGGGUAAUGGCCUACCAAGUCGACGAUCAGUAGCCGGACUGAGAGGUUGAACGGCCACAUUGGGACUGAGACACGGCCCAGACUCCUACGGGAGGCAGCAGUGGGGAAUAUUGCACAAUGGGCGCAAGCCUGAUGCAGCAACGCCGCGUGGAGGAAGACGGUUUUCGGAUUGUAAACUCCUGUUCUUAGUGAAGAAUAAUGACGGUAGCUAAGGAGCAAGCCACGGCUAACUACGUG
rnacentral:rRNA from 1 species